rnacentral:rRNA from 1 species
GACGAACGCUGGCGGCGUGCUUAACACAUGCAAGUCGAACGGAAAGGCCUGCUUUCCCUUGUGGAUUGCGGGUACUCGAGUGGCGAACGGGUGAGUAACACGUGAGUGAUCUGCCCCCAACUUGGGUAUAAGCCUGGGAAACUGGGUCUAAUUCCCGAUAGGACUGCAGGGUGGUGCCUGUGGUGGAAAACGAUUUUCUAGUGGUUGGGGAUGAGCUCGCGGCCUAUCAGCUUGUUGGUGGGGUAAUGGCCUACCAAGGCGGCGACGGGUAGCCGGCCUGAGAGGGUGGACGGCCACAUUGGGACUGAGAUACGGCCCAGACUCCUACGGGAGGCAGCAGUGGGGAAUAUUGCAGAAUGGGCGGAAGCCUGAUGCAGCGACGCCGCGUGGGGGAUGACGGCCUUCGGGUUGUAAACUCCUUUCGACCGCGAGGAAGCCACCUGGUUGGAAGGGUGGUGACGGUAGUGGUAGAAGAAGCACCGGCUAACUACGUG